rnacentral:rRNA from 1 species
AUUGAACGCUGGCGGCAGGCCUAACACAUGCAAGUCGAGCGGAUGAAGGGAGCUUGCUCCUGGAUUCAGCGGCGGACGGGUGAGUAAUGCCUAGGAAUCUGCCUGGUAGUGGGGGAUAACGUCCGGAAACGGGCGCUAAUACCGCAUACGUCCUGAGGGAGAAAGUGGGGGAUCUUCGGACCUCACGCUAUCAGAUGAGCCUAGGUCGGAUUAGCUAGUUGGUGGGGUAAAGGCCUACCAAGGCGACGAUCCGUAACUGGUCUGAGAGGAUGAUCAGUCACACUGGAACUGAGACACGGUCCAGACUCCUACGGGAGGCGGCAGUGGGGAAUAUUGGACAAUGGGCGAAAGCCUGAUCCAGCCAUGCCGCGUGUGUGAAGAAGGUCUUCGGAUUGUAAAGCACUUUAAGUUGGGAGGAAGGGCAGUAAGUUAAUACCUUGCUGUUUUGACGGUACCAACAGAAUAAGCACCGGCUAACUUCGUG